UUCGUGAUGCUUGCGUCAAAGGACUUGGUAAAUGGAGGACAGUGAAGACCCUUUGCAAACUGUAAGGUUCCAAAGAAUAUUUUCAUCUCUGCUGAGUUUGAUGCAGGAAUGUCAGAGGAUGGCCAGACGAGAAGCCUUUGCAUUUAUCUUGGGAAAACACAUUCCUCUUCAGCUUUGAGGCCUUGGCUUAAAGGUCACUUCAGCCAGGAGGUCCCCGGUCUCCCCAGCUGCAGGGCCUCACAUGCAGGAAGGACAUAAGGAAGAUUUGCUGAAGGAAGGACGGAAGAAAUGAAUGAGCCACCAAAGUGGCAGAUUUUCUGAUCGCCAGUCUAGUGCUGGCAGGAAGGACACUGCAAAGGACAGGGCAAAGCCGCCCAGUGCGGACAUUUCAGCUGUCGGUGCACAGGGACCCAAUGCAUGCCUGGUGUACUGACCCAAGAGCAAGCAGGUAAGCCCUCCCUCUCCCCUCUGCAGAGAACGUGUGGGACCGACCCAGGAAAUCAUGGGAGAUGGGGGGGCAGACAGGAGAGAGUGGCGAAGGUGUAGCUCUGGGGUGUUAGGACUUCCUUCAGGGGAGACAGGAAGCCUGAGUGGAGACAGAACACUGGCUGGAGAGUCAGAGACCUGCCUGGAGUCCUGGCUUUGCUUGACCCCUCUGGGUGGCUUCGGGCAUGUGGCCUCUCCAGUUUGGCCUGUGACUUGAGAAAGUCUGAUGACAUGGGCUCUGGACUUGUUGUCCUCCUGUGGCCUGGGAGCCCUGCAGUCCCCAAGAGACAUCUGUGACCAGAGGAAGUGAGUGAGAUGGUGAUGGACAGUAGGAGCGGGGGGUUGUGACACCCUCGCUCCUGCAGUGGGAGGGGUGAUCACAGCCAGGAGCCUCUGGUCCCCACGAAGAGCCCCACCACUCCCCUCAGCCCCUCUGCGGUUGCUGCCCCUCAGAUUCAAUUUCCAGCUCAGCUUUCACAUCGAGCUCCAGCCAGUAACUUUACCGGAGAAAAUGAUUAUGUGAUUAUUUCAACCUUGCUCCAAACACUGUUUUAAUUGGAUCUGGGAAAAGGCGAUUUGGGCAUCAGAGGGCCCCUGCGGGGGCGGAGCAGCAUGGGAAUGUCAGGCAGAUGCCUGCUAGCUCCUGAGCCGUAAAAGGCAGUGAAUGCUUCUGAGCCACCCCCCAGACCCCCAGCCUUGCCCUGAUAUUCAUCCCAGAUCUGGGUGAGCCUCAGCAGGAAAGAGGAAAUUUGAGGGGUGGGGGUGCUUCCCGGGCAAGCAGGUUGGGGAGGGGAGCUUGCGAGGGGGACAGGAGUCCAGCAGCCGUGUUUCCUGCCCAAAGCAGCCCUCAGCCACUUAGAAAACUGCUUUUCUGCCUAUCUCCCUUCUCUGCUUCCAGCUCAGCCCACCUGGGAGCAAAUUUUUGCUCAAACACUAGCCCAAGGAAGCAGAAUUGGAAAGAACAUCUGAUUUUCCAGAAUCCAGCAGAGCCUUCUAGAGCGAUUUGGGAUUAUCUGCUCCAGGGAUCACCCUGCCAGCUUUCUCCCUCCUAGACAGAUGAUUGGGAUUUGACUACAUACUAAUCUUUCUAAGCCUCAGUUUCCUCAACUAUGAAAGAGAGGGUUGGUCCUAGGUGACCCCUAAGGCCCUUCCGAGUUCUGAAGGAAGCUAUUUUAGCUGAUUCCCUGUGUGUCCUCCAUGAGGCUGGAGAAGUCCAACCACAGCUCCUUGGUGGCCAAUUCUGUGGGGACGCUUGUGGGCUCCCAGCCUUGCAGGGCCCGCCUGCUCCAGCGGCUAAGCUUGUCCCUCCCCAUCCCUGAGCCAGAGCUCAGUCAGGUGCCAGGUAGAGAAAGUGAGCCUCGGAUUGGGGCAGGAGGGCAGGGGUGGGGUGUGUCCCACAGGUAGCGGGGUCGCCAGGAAGGACACAAUGUAAGGCCCACCUUUGAUUCCAUGUGUCUCGAGCUCUCUCUCUGCCUACUUCCACCCAUCACCUUAACAAACACCAUGUCAAUUUUUAAAAUUGCUUGAAAGCUGCCAUUGUGGAGAAUGUGCUCUGGGGAGCUCCCCAGAGCAGGAAAGAAUGUGCACCCCCCGCACAUCCCCACCAAGACAUAGGCACUGAGACUGCGGAGAAGACUGGCCAGGCCCUGGCAGACUCCAGCAUCCACCAGUCAUCAGCAAGCAUUUACCGGGCACUUGGUGGGCAUGGGUGGAGGGACAGCGAGGCAGGGGCAAAGGAAUAAAAGGUGUUGGUUAAAUUCA